rnacentral:rRNA from 1 species
UGGGGAAUAUUGCACAAUCGGCGCAAGCCUGAUGCAGCCAUGCCGCGUGUAUGAAGAAGGCCUUCGGGUUGUAAAGUACUUUCAGCGGGGAGGAAGGGAGUAAAGUUAAUACCUUUGCUCAUUGACGUUACCCGCAGAAGAAGCACCGGCUAACUCCGUGCCAGCAGCCGCGGUAAUACGGAGGGUGCAAGCGUUAAUCGGAAUUACUGGGCGUAAAGCGCACGCAGGCGGUUUGUUAAGUCAUAUGUGAAAUCCCCGGGCUCAACCUGGGAACUGCAUCUGAUACUGGCAAGCUUGAGUCUCGUAGAGGGGGGUAGAAUUCCAGGUGUAGCGGUGAAAUGCGUAGAGAUCUGGAGGAAUACCGGUGGCGAAGGCGGCCCCCUGGACGAAGACUGACGCUCAGAUGCGAAAGCGUGGGGAGCAAACAGG